rnacentral:rRNA from 1 species
GUAGGGGGCAAGCGUUGUCCGGAAUCAUUGGGCGUAAAGAGCGCGUAGGCGGUCCGGUAAGUCAGCUGUGAAAGUCAAGGGCUCAACCCUUGAAAGCCGGUUGAUACUGUCGGGCUAGAGUCCGGAAGAGGCGAGUGGAAUUCCCGGUGUAGCGGUGAAAUGCGCAGAUAUCGGGAGGAACACCAAUGGCGAAGGCAGCUCGCUGGGACGGUACUGACGCUGAGGCGCGAAAGCGUGGGGAGCAAACAGGAUUAGAUACCCUGGUAGUCCACGCCGUAAACGAUGGGCACUAGGUGUUGGGGGUGUCGACUCCCCCGGCGCCGUAGCUAACGCAUUAAGUGCCCCGCCUGGGGAGUACGGCCGCAAGGCUAAA